AUGGGUAUUUUGCAUGCCUGUGCGUGCUUGUGUGUCUAUUGCCUGCAGAAGCCAGAAGAGGGCACCAGCUCCCCUAGAUCUGGAGUGACAGUCCCCUGUGAGCCACCAUAUGGGUGCUGGGAAUCUGGGUUCCCUGGAAGAGUAGCGUAGCUAGUCUUUUAACUGCUGAGCCAUCCCUCCAGCCCCGUGGGUUCGUUUUUGAGAUAGUCUCACAGUAUAGCCAAGGCUUUUGAUCCUUCUCAUUCUCCGGAGUGUAUGCUUUGUCUCUUGCCUUCCACCUGAGAACUUUCACUAUGGUUAUCUUGGAGAAAGGGUCUCACUAUGUAGCUCUGGCUGAUCUGGAACUCACCAUGUAUACCACACUUGCUCCAGCCUCUCUGAGCCUCCCAAGUGCUGACCUGGCCCUCAUCUAAGUCUUCUUCAUUUCUGCUUCCUGUCUUCUACAGAGUGUCUGGCUUCAAGUUUCCUCUAUACUUAGCAGCUAAAGCCAUUUCCUAACAGUAUUGCUAAUACCCUAACAGUUACAGUUCAGGUCCUGCUCUCACUCCUACAUGCCAAACACUCCUGUGUGCCUUGCUCACUGGUCCUCACAGCUGUGGUAUCGGGGCUCGUGUCAUCGCUUCAGAAAAGAGAGGAGAGCACAGACAUGGAUGUCCUGCCCAAAGUCUUAAUUCAUCUUCCAAGCCAAAGCAGGUAACUGCAGGCAGGGCCCUAAAAGUGCUAAGGUCUGCCGCUUCCACAAAGCCAUCUCAUGCUCAGGAGAGAACCGCCUGACCAAAGACCUCUUGUCGCUAGCUCUGUUAAGCCGAAACCCAGGCAGAGCCUUUAAUGGGGUCCACUCGGUCCUCCCCUCUGGGAAACAGCUCGGGUCUUCACUCAUGUUCUCACCUUAGUUUGGGAGGGCAAAGGGACAGGUGUCCCUCUGCCUUUGGAUUCGUGCCUCCUUGGCUUCUGCAGAGAAUGAGGGUUCUGUCACCUUCCCCAGGUGCCACUGUCCUCUUCUCUAGAAUUUUUCUUUGGUCUCAUCUGAAAAAGAUAAGCCUAAGGAUGGAAGAUGAGGAAUUAGAGUUGCCAGGUGACCCCAGCCCAUCUACACUCAUGGCAAGGUUUGUGCUAGGUAGGGGGACAACACCCCUCACACACAAAACAAAACAAAACCCUGGAGACAUUUCUAGUAGUCUUGUCCUGUCUUUCCACCUCUGACCCACUCAUUCCUGUCAGUGUGGAGUUCCCUCUGCCCUGGUUUGAGAAUCCCAGGAAUGUGGAACCUAGGGCCUUCCCUCUAUGUUCCAGCCCCACCCCACCCCCCACACUGAACCCCCUGGCCCUGUGAGGGAAGUUUUAUUCAAGGAGGGGGGGAGGAGGUCCUGAGCCUCCAACUGGGAAAGAAAAGCAGUAUGGGGCUCAGCUCUUCCCCACCCCCACCCCCCUCUGCCCCUCCCCAAAUCUGUUCUGCCCCUUUUCAUCACAGAUGGCUGGCACCCUCACCAAAGUUUCUCUUGAUGGUAAUUGCUCCUAAUUGUUUUCCCUGGCUUACAAGGCCUUUCUUGGCUGCCCUUAGCACAUGAGACUCAAGGAGGGAGGCAAGCCCCUUUGGAGCUCGAAGCCCAGCUUUGCAGAUGUGAUUUAGAGGGAAGGAAGGCUCACAUCACAGAGAAUAGUAACCAGAAGAGAAGAGCACGGUGGGGGGUGCCCCCCCCCCUGCUUUCCUUCUCUAGGACGCUCAGUAGGUCUGUCAGAGAGGGACUGGCAGCCACUCUUUAGUAGAGCUGGGGAGCUUGAGGGGUGGUGGAUGUCCAGAAAAAGGGUCCCAUGGAAUCUCAUACACUGGUUAGAAAGGAGUUUGGGGGCGACAGCCAGAGAGAAGGCAUAGAAAUGUUUUAGUGGUUCAGUGUUUAGUGCAGAGCCUGUGGUGUGCUAGGCUCCUGUACUAGCUUUCUGUCCCCUGGGACAUCUUGCUCUAGCGCCAGCCCUAAGUGUCAUACCCAGUUCCAUGGCUUCUGGCAGCCUGAGCUACAACCCAGGGAUCUCCUACUCCCUUCACCCCGACUGCAGCUUCUCUCAGCUGUACAGGACCUGUUCUAGUGGGCACAGCAGCCUUUAUGAGAGGAAUCCAGGGGAAAAGAAGUAAGGAUGGAGAAUGGACGAGUUUUACACAGCUGCAGACAUCUAAGGAAGCCUCAUAGGUGUGCCAGAAAGGGAGGGUCUGGGCUAAGAACAUUCCCUUAGAUUCAGGGCGGGAUGAUGGUGCCGUCUCUACUGAAGCCUUUCUCAUGUGUGGUGGGUCAAGAUAUCAUAUAAGACUUUUAUAAAAAUUUCUCUAUAGGCAAGGGAAUAUUUUUCUGUCUGUAUAUGCAUCCAUUUACCUGUCUGUCUACUAACCUCUAUUCAACCAUUCACUCAAUUGCUUCUUUGGGUCCUACUCUGUGGCAGGCUCUGGGGUAUAGGGAGGAUAUGGUACGGUUGCUUGUCCUCACAGGAACUUCACCAGUUCCUUCUUCAGAAGCCAGAUCUCCCUUCUGUCAUGUCAGGGACCCGACUCCAACCUAGGAGGUCUUCCAGUGGAUAACUAGAAGUCUCAAACCAGGGGCCAUUGAUAAUUAGGGCCAGAAUAGUGGCUGGAGGAAUGAGGAAGGUACCCAGCCAGGUCACUGAGCCCAUCACUGUGGUUUGGCUAUGCUGGUUUAAAAAAAAAAAAAAUUAGUAAGCUUGGACAAGUGUCUUUCUGUUUCCUGUGCUCCAGGCUGUUCUCAGACAGGAGUCACUCCAUUAAACAAACUACAGCCAAGGGCAACAGGGCCUGGGCCCAGAGAGGUCUGGAAAUGAGAGUGGGAACAUGGAGCCCCAGACAAGACCUGAGCCUGCUUGUCCAUUACAGAUCAAAAUCAAUUUUCUCUACAUUGGAGUGACACAGACAAUUCCUGGCCUUUCUUAGACAUCCUAUGACCACCAGACACCCUGGCUCUCAUGAAGAAAAAAAAAUCCAUAGUGGAAUUUAAUUUACAGAAUUGAGAAUGUGAAAGUCAUGGGAGGCUCAGGACAACUUGAUCAAGCUUAAGUUUGUUUCCAAUAAUUCCCUUGGUUCUGCCUGAUACAUCGACUUCCUUGCAAACCCGAAAUACCCACACAAGUCCUGCCCAUGAAGACAGUGAUCUUUCCCUCCCUGCCUUUAAACCAAGCUUUGUCCCAUACUUUGUAUGGACCAGCCCAGAAGAAAAGUUUCUGCGCCAAAGAGGCGGGUCAGUGUUGGAGAGCAUGAGCUGCUCUGUCAGAGGACCCUGGGUCCCUUCUCCAGCACCAGUGUCAGGUGGCUCACAAGUGCUACUCGCUCCAGACCCAGGAGGGCCUAGCACCCGACCUCUGCAAACACCUGCACUCACAUACACUUUAAAAUUGGUUGGUUGGUUGGUUGGUUUUUUAAAAUGCAUUUCUUGUGUGGGUCGUGGAAUUAGCCUAAUUGGCCUAGGUCAAUCAAGGCCUUUAUGUACACUAGGGGAUUAGAGUGAACUCUAUCAAAAUAGCAGUCCUCUGCACAGUGGUGUGAGUGUGACCAGUACUGCGGGAGCCAGCCACAGUCUCAUUUACAGAGGGCAUUCGUAAGUGCUAAGGGAGAUGGCAUACAGGGUUUCAGACAGCGCCUGGCACAUAGGACAUGUUGCCAUUUUUUAUUAACUUAGCAUUAUUGGUGUCCUGAACACACAAUCAGCUUUCAGUACUUCACUAAGGGCCAGCUUGGGGAUAUGCUUGCUGUGUACGACCUAUGUGAGGGGUACAAUUUAGUACAUAUGCAAUAUAUAAUGAUUGUAUAUGAUUGUAUAUAACUAGACAGGAUUCCCAGCACUCUAAACACUUUAAAAUUGUGUACGUUGAGAAUCGUUGGCUUCUUUUCUAGUUGUAAAAUGUCUCUCGAGUUAAGGAAUUCCUCUUAUUUAAGAGCUGUUUUUAUUUUACAUGUAUAAGUGUUUUCCCUGAAGGUAUGCCCGUGUACCAUAAAUGUGCCUGCUGCUCACAGAAGCCAGAAGAGAGUGUUGAAUUCCCUAGAAGUGGAGUUACAGAUGUUGUGAGCCACCAUGUGAUUGCUGGGAAUUGAACCCAGGUCCUCUAGAUUUAAGUGCUGAGCCAUCUCUCCAUCAUCAAGGAGUCCCUUCAUCUUUGGUACCCAUUAUCUCUAUCCUCACUCCCAGUCUCUUGUGACCAUUAUUCUACUUUCUUUUAUAAUAAUAUUGACAUUUUUGGCUUCCACAAAUGAAUGAAAAUGUGGUAUUUGUCUA